GACGAACGCUGGCGGCGUGCUUAACACAUGCAAGUCGAACGGAAAGGCCCUGCUUUUGUGGGGUGCUCGAGUGGCGAACGGGUGAGUAACACGUGAGUAACCUGCCCUUGACUUUGGGAUAACUUUAGGAAACGGGGGCUAAUACCGGAUGGGAGCUCCUGUUGCAUGGUGGGGGUUGGAAAGUUUCGGCGGUUGGGGAUGGACUCGCGGCUGAGUAGCUUGUUGGGGGGGUAGUGGCAUACCAAGGCUUUGACGGGUAGACGGCCUGGGAGGGUGACCGGGCACAUUACGCCUACGGUACGGCCCAGACUCCUACGGGCGGCAGCGGUGGGGAGUCUUGCACAGUGGGCGGAAGCCAGAUACAGCAGCGCCGCGUUCGGAAUGACGGGUUGCGGGUUAUGAACCGCUGUCACCUGUGACGAAGCGUGAGUGACGGGAAUGUGUAAAGAAGCACCGGCUAACUACGUG
rnacentral:rRNA from 1 species